CAGGAUGGAGCUAAUCCAUCCAGAGAGCAGGUCAAAGUUAAAUGGAAUUCCUUGUAUACCUUCACCUUUCUUGGUAAUGAGAUGAUUGUGUAUGGGUGGUACAUACUCUUUUUAAAGAACCUUAGUUCAUCAAAUUUUUGUGAGA